AGGGCCCCCACAGUGCUCCGGCCCCGCUGUCCCCACAGGGGUCACAAAGGGCUCCCGAAGGGCGACUCGCAGGAUCCCAAAGGAUUCCCCUCAGGAUCCCAAAGGGCUUCCAAAGAGCUCUCCACGGGGUUGCAAGAGAUUCUACUCAGGAUUCGCCUCAGGCCAUAAACGGUUCCCUUCAGGCUUUCCACGGAGUCCCUCAGGGCUCCCUAAAGGGCUCGGACAUUGCUCCCUCAGGGCUCCCCGUGCUGUUCCCCGCAAUCCUGCAGGGCUCCCUCAGAGCUCCACACACGGCUCUGACAUUGCUCCCCACGGGACUCCCGAGGGCUCCCCAUAGGGCUCCCUCAGGGCUCCCCGCAGCCGAGGGCAGUGAGUGAGGGGAGCUGGAUGUGCCCAGAUGGGCUUUGGGGAGUAGAGCAGCCACCCUGGCUUCCCUUAAGAAUGACACUGGGGUGGGCAUGGGAGGAUGUGCCCUCUGCUGCCUUCUGCUUCUGCGUCCUACCAAAACCCACCCAGAAGUCAUCCAUGGGAGGACCCUUGCAGGGAAUAAAACCACUGUCUCCCAGCAAGAAGGGUCUUUUUCUGCUAUUCCUGGUGCCCUGACAUCCUUACCUCAACCUGCUACACCUCAUCCUUAACUCAGUGCCUCUGGAGAUCUUUUGAGGACUGAUAAUAAGAGAAGAACAUGACAUCAAAUGUCUGAUGUGCAUCUGACAGCAGCUUCUCCACAUUCCUGUGUGGGUACAGAAGUCUGGGACCAGUUUCACCAUCCCAGUCUGACUAUCCCAGUCAAAGGACUCCAGCCAACUGGGGCAGGACCAGGCCCUUCCACUGCAAAGUCCUACACUGAUAAUAGCAUAUAAUAACUUGAGUCCCACUCCAGCAUGGUGCUCACAGUAGCAUACUUGGAGUGCUGAGAAAGAUGCUGUCUUUCGAGAAGUCCUGAAGGAUAUGGAACAUGUCUUAAGUGACAGAUCUAGGCUCUGAGCCUGAACAAGUUCAUUAUGUAUUGCUUAACUUUAUUCUGCAUAAAAUAUGUGUAAGUCUUUGCAGGCUGAGGGCCAGGACACUCGGAGCACCCUCACACCCCCACACACAUGGAAGAUAAUACAACAUAUUUUCCAUAUAACAAGUGGCAAGAUGCCAGAAGUUAUCUUCCAAAAUGUUCUGCAGAAUCUGUAAUCCCCAGCAAUAGUCAGCACUUUGCUGUUAGAAUACUUAAAAAUACUCAGAGCUUCCAAAGGCAGAUAGCCCGUGAUAUCACAGUGGCGUAGAUUUACUGCUGAUUCAGAAGGGAAAGUACCUUGAUGAAUCAUAUCCCACUCCCUGCAGCUUUGAGGAUGUUUUUGGAGAUCCUCUGCCCAGGUGAAAACCUAUCUGAUGGUGAUUGGUGCAGAAAUAUUUAUUUCUAAGCUGUCUGUUUUUAGCUGUCCAGUUGCUAUUUCCCACAAAAGUUACAAAUGUACGCAAGCUAGAAGAAAUCUCUUAGCCAAAUCCCAAUGUAUUCCUAGUCCCAAUGAAGAGUGUAUCCAUUUCUGUCCGUACCUUGCCCACAGAAACACUCAGUGGAAGUGGAAAGUACUUGUGCAAUUAGAGGACAAAAUAUCAGGAUGAGGAGAAUGAUGAAUAAGAAGUUCCAGAAUAAGCAGUAUCUAAAGAGUCAUUCCAGUGGGUUGUCUCAUGAGGAAUGACCUUGUGUCUUAUCUCUGAUGAGAAAGAUUUUAUACAGGACUCUCCUGGGAAAAUUAUUGCAUCUUUGAGUUAAUGUUGGUGUAGUGUGAGAUACAUCUAAGGCAGAAAUUCCAUGUACAGGGUUUGGGGAUGUGUGAGACUUUUAAAAGGUUGUACAAAGUGAAUCAGCAACAUACAAAUGAGCUGAAAUAAUAGACUUUAAGGGAUAUACAUAACUGUGUGCAGCGUUUCCUCUGAUAACGUCACAGGAAGAGUAACAGAAUGUUCUGCUGUCAAAGAGUUUUGUGGACACUGACUGGUCCCUUGUUGGAAAAACUCAAUCUUGGCAUAAGCAGGAAGUCCACCAGCCCCAGAAGAGAUAAGUCUUUUGUCACCAGAUGUGUCUUUUGUGCUUCUACCAGAUCCACAGAGGUGGAAAUACAUCUCCAGACUUCUGAGUGGGAGAAGCUUUAAAUGCAUCAGCAGAGCCCUGAUCAGAACAAGUGUGAGAUGUUUUACAUUCAUUCCUGGGCCUCAGGAGUGCCAUGCCACCACUAGGAUAGAGGGACUGAAAAAAUGGGUUUUACCUAGGUUUGCAACAGGAUCAAUGUGUCAGAAACACAGGCACGAGGAAAAGCGUCCAUUGAUGAGAGGUCACACCACCGAGUCACCCUGCUGUGUUCUGCUGUUGCAGAGAUCUCAGCAAUGUGUCCUUAACCUGCUGCAGUGACAGCAAUGGCUGUGUAUUCCCUGGAGCUGCUCAGCAGAGCUGUAUCUCAGAGAGUUUUUACACUGUCAGUACACCAGCUCUGCUCUGCCAAGCAGAACAGAGAUCACCUUCCCACUGUGCACUGUGGACAUGUGCACUCUUAAAUUUGCCACCAUGAGUGAGACCUGAGCACAGCUCUCUGUGCUGUCCUGCCUGUCUGUGCCAAGUGCAGUCCUAGGACAUGUUCCUGCUAUGAUAUAACAGUCUCCCUGUCUCUUAGGGAUGCCAAGUGUCCCUGUAGGAAUUCAUUUCUCUUACUUCCCAACCUUAUUUAACCUUAAUGAAUGGGAUAUUGCUGCUGGUAACUCCUCCAAAUACACUCUGCUGUAUCCUAUGCCCUGGCUCCAGCCCAGGAGUGCAGGGAUACAGAGGGUCAGUGAAGACAUCUCCACACUACCUGGAAAUAAGGUGUUUCUAGACCCCUUUGACAUCCUGCCCCAUGGAUGAAGAGAUUUGGCAGUGGGACACACAUUAGAGGGCUCUGUUUGCCCAGCCAGUGGUGCUGUAGCCAUUGACAGAUACUCUACAAACUGAUCAGUUGAUAUUUCAAAGAUUUUUUUUUCUUCUAGACCUCAGCCUGUGCUUCCAGCUGACCAGCAGUGCUGUAGCUGUGAAGAGUAGUCAACCUGGCACAAAGCCAAAGCUUAUCCCACUUAUUCUCCAUAUACCCCGAAGCCCAUGCACACACAAACAUAAAUACGUGUGUGAAACAAUAUACUCUGAAAGGCUACUGAGGCUCUACGCUCCAGCAUUCAGCAGCCUGGAGUGUCCAGAAUUUGCCUGGUUUUCCUCAUCCAGAUGAACUGUAAUUGAGUUAUCCACACCCUUUUCCUACAGGCAUCCCCCUCACUCUGCAUUGGCAAUGGUUGCUGCUCCUGAGGGAGCAGCUCCCCUCAUGAUUUAUUCUCCUCUUGUUUAAUGUGCAGCGAAGGGGCUUUUUACUGCCUGUUAUUCAAACUGUGCUUUGGGCACAAAAUUAUUCAUUUCCGUAUGGUUUUUCCAUGGUGCUCAUGACAGCAGUGUCUGAGAGUUUCACAUGCACUGUUUCCUUUUCCAGUCAUUUUGAGAAGAUGCUGACCCUGUAUUAUCAGUGAGGAAAGAAGGCAGACAGGGAUGAAUAAAAAAAGGGUCUUCAUAAUUUCGGUUUCCCGAUGUGAGUCACCCACAGCCUGAGUGCUCUGAUGACAGAUAUUCAGAGCUCAACUCCAGCAGUCAUUGCACAGGGUGGAUCUGAAAUUCUCACACCUAAACACCCAGGUAUUAAACUGCGACUGUGCACAAGGAUUGGCCUUUCCUUUAGCUAGCCUGGCUCCAAAAGUAAAUUGGAAAAGAAGAAUCACUCAGUUUCGGAAUGGUACUUGUGAGCUGUGCCCAGCUGAUUCGAGACACACCAGCUCUUCCCAGCGAAAUGGUUUUGAAGGGUGCUGUCAUGAAUCUAGGAAAUACAGAACAGAGCAGGUAAACAAACAUCCUUAGAGAUGAUCCCAUCUCAGACCUUGAUCCUGCAAACCCACACGGGCUUAAUGUUAAGCACAUGAACAGUCCCAGAUGACUUCAGAAGAACUACUCACAUACAGUGCAGAGCAUUUGCCAGAUCAGAGCCUUUAUGUCUAAUUGCAAAAUAAAAGGCAAGUCUCCCAGUUCUA